rnacentral:tRNA from 1 species
GGUUGUGCCUCAGUGGUAGAGUGCUUGCCUAGCAUGUGCAAGGCCCUGGGUUCAAUCCUCAGCACCA